rnacentral:misc_RNA from 1 species
GGAGGGUCUUUAGAGAAUCGUUGUAGAUUUGCACUUGAAAUAGUGGAAGCAGUUGCAAAUGAGAUUGGAUCUGACCGAGUUGGUAUAAGGAUAUCCCCAUUUGCGCAUUAUAAUGAAGCAGGGGACACGAACCCGACUGCUUUGGGACUUUACAUGGUGGAAUCGUUGAACAAGUAUGAUCUCGCGUAUUGCCAUGUGGUUGAGCCUAGGAUGAAAACAGCUUGGGAAAAAAUUGAAUGUACUGAAAGCCUUGUACCGAUGAGGAAGGCAUAUAAAGGUACUUU